CACGUAGGGUGCGAGCGUUGUCCGGAAUUAUUGGGCGUAAAGAGCUCGUAGGCGGUGUGUCGCGUCGGCCGUGAAAACCUGCAGCUUAACUGUGGGCUUGCGGUCGAUACGGGCAUCACUGGAGUUCGGCAGGGGAGACUGGAAUUCCUGGUGUAGCGGUGGAAUGCGCAGAUAUCAGGAGGAACACCAGUGGCGAAGGCGGGUCUCUGGGCCACAUCUGACGCUGAGGAGCGAAAGCUGGGGAGCGAACAGG
rnacentral:rRNA from 1 species